rnacentral:rRNA from 1 species
GCAAGUCGAACGAGAAAGGGAUUGCUUGCAAUCCUGAGUAGAGUGGCGCACGGGUGAGUAACACGUAGAUAAUCUACCUUCAGGUCUGGGAUAACUGUUCGAAAGGGCAGCUAAUACCGGAUGAAGUAAAUUGUCAAAAGAUGAUUUAUGAAAGAUAGCCGAUCCAUGGAAGCUAUCGCUUGGAGAUGAGUUUGCGGACCAUUAGUUAGUUGGUGGGGUAAAGGCCUACCAAGACUGCGAUGGUUAGCUGGUCUGAGAGGAUGAUC